rnacentral:rRNA from 1 species
CCUACGGGUGGCUGCAGUGGGGAAUAUUGCACAAUGGGGGAAACCCUGAUGCAGCAACGCCGCGUGAAGGAAGACGGUUUUCGGAUCGUAAACUUCUGUUCUUAGUGAAGAAUAAUGACGGUAGCUAAGGAGCAAGCCACGGCUAACUACGUGCCAGCAGCCGCGGUAAUAAGUAGGUGGCAAGCGUUGUCCGGUAUUACGGGGUGGAAGGGGAGCGCAGGCGGGAAGCCAAGUCAGCUGUGAAAACUACGGGCUUAACUUGGAGGCUGCUGUUGAAACUGGUUUUCUUGAGUGAAGGAGAGGUAGGCGGAAUUCCUAGUGUAGCGGUGAAAUGCGUAGAUAUUCGGAGGAACACCGGUGGCGAAGGCGGCCAACUGGGCUUUAACUGACGCUGAGGCUCGAAAGCGUGGGGAGCAAACAGGAUUAGAUACCCGAGUAGUC